AUUGAACGCUGGCGGCAGGCCUAACACAUGCAAGUCGAACGAGUGGCGGACGGGUGAGUAAUGUCUGGGAAACUGCCUGAUGGAGGGGGAUAACUACUGGAAAAGGUAGCUAAUACCGCAUACCAUCGGAUGUGCCCAGAUGGGAUUAGCUAGUCGGUGGGGUAAAGGCUCACCUAGGCGACGAUCCCUCGCUGGUCUGAGAGGAUGACCAGCCACACUGGAACUGGAACACGGCCCAGCGUCCUACGGUGGGCAGCAGUGGGGAAUAUUGCACAAGGGGCACAAGCCGGAUGCAGACAGUCCGCGUGGAUGAAGAAGGCCUUCGGGUGGUAAGGUACUUUCAGCGGGGAGGCGUUACCCGAAGAAGAAGCCCCGGCUAACUCCGUGCCAGCAGCCGCGGUAAUUC
rnacentral:rRNA from 1 species